rnacentral:rRNA from 1 species
GAUGAACGCUGGCGGCGUGCCUAAUACAUGCAAGUCGAGCGAACAGACGAGGAGCUUGCUCCUCUGACGUUAGCGGCGGACGGGUGAGUAACACGUGGAUAACCUACCUAUAAGACUGGGAUAACUUCGGGAAACCGGAGCUAAUACCGGAUAAUAUAUUGAACCGCAUGGUUCAAUAGUGAAAGACGGUUUUGCUGUCACUUAUAGAUGGAUCCGCGCCGCAUUAGCUAGUUGGUAAGGUAACGGCUUACCAAGGCGACGAUGCGUAGCCGACCUGAGAGGGUGAUCGGCCACACUGGAACUGAGACACGGUCCAGACUCCUACGGGAGGCAGCAGUAGGGAAUCUUCCGCAAUGGGCGAAAGCCUGACGGAGCAACGCCGCGUGAGUGAUGAAGGUCUUCGGAUCGUAAAACUCUGUUAUUAGGGAAGAACAAAUGCGUAAGUAACUAUGCACGUCUUGACGGUACCUAAUCAGAAAGCCACGGCUAACUACG